GAUGAACGCUAGCUACAGGCUUAACACAUGCAAGUCGAGGGGUAGCAGGGUAGCAAUACCGCUGACGACCGGCGCACGGGUGAGUAACACGUAUCCAACCUUCCCAUAACUCAGGAAUAGCCUUUCGAAAGAAAGAUUAAUACCUGAUAGCACUUAAGAAAGGCAUCUUUUUUAAGUUAAAGAUUUAUCGGUUAUGGAUGGGGAUGCGUUCCAUUAGAUAGUUGGUGAGGUAACGGCUCACCAAGUCUUCGAUGGAUAGGGGUUCUGAGAGGAAGGUCCCCCACAUUGGAACUGAGACACGGACCAAACUCCUACGGGAGGCAGCAGUGAGGAAUAUUGGUCAAUGGGCGAGGGCCUGAACCAGCCAAGUAGCGUGAAGGAUGAAGGUCCUAUGGAUUGUAAACUUCUUUUAUAGUAGAAUAAAGUGAGCCACGUGUGGUUUUUUGUAUGUAUACUAUGAAUAAGGAUCGGCUAACUCCGUGCCAGCCGCCGCCGUAA
rnacentral:rRNA from 1 species